UAUUGAAAUGAUGAAUGAAAAAGGGACUUAAUAUUGAAACUUAAUAUAACAUUAUGCUAUUAUGAUGUGU
ensembl:snoRNA SNORD82 Small nucleolar RNA SNORD82